ACUCAAAGGAAUUGACGGGGGCCCGCACAAGCGGCGGAGCAUGUUGCUUAAUUCGACGCAACGCGAAGAACCUUACCAAGGCUUGACAUGGCCUCAAAAGCCGCGGAGACGCGGUGUCCGCAAGGGGGGGUCACAGGUGGUGCAUGGCUGUCGUCAGCUCGUGUCGUGAGAUGUUGGGUUAAGUCCCGCAACGAGCGCAACCCUCGUCCUAUGUUGCCAGCGGGUAAUGCCGGGGACUCAUGGGAGACUGCCGGGGUCAACUCGGAGGAAGGUGGGGAUGACGUCAAGUCAUCAUGCCCCUUAUGCCUUGGGCUGCAAACAUGCUACAAUGGCCGGUACAAAGGGCUGCGAUGCCGUGAGGCGGAGCGAAUCCCGGAAAGCCGGCCUCAGUUCGGAUCGGGGUCUGCAACUCGACCCCGUGAAGUCGGAGUCGCUAGUAAUCGCGAAUCAGCAACGUCGCGGUGAAUACGUUCCCGGGCCUUGUACACACCGCCCGU
rnacentral:rRNA from 1 species